rnacentral:rRNA from 1 species
AACGAACGCUGGCGGCAUGCCUAACACAUGCAAGUCGAACGAGACCUUCGGGUCUAGUGGCGCACGGGUGCGUAACGCGUGGGAACCUGCCCUUAGGUUCGGAAUAACUCCCCGAAAGGGGUGCUAAUACCGGAUAAUGUCUUCGGACCAAAGAUUUAUCGCCUUUGGAUGGGCCCGCGUUGGAUUAGCUAGUUGGUAGGGUAAAAGCCUACCAAGGCGACGAUCCAUAGCUGGUCUGAGAGGAGGAUCAGCCACACUGGGACUGAGACACGGCCCAGACUCCUACGGGAGGGAGAAGUGGGGAAUAUUGGACAAUGGGAGAAAGCCUGAUCAAGCAAUGCCGGGUGAGUGAUGAAGGCAUUAGGGUUGUAAAGCUCUUUUAACCGGGAUGAUAAUGACGGUACAGGGAGAAUAAGCUCCGGCUAACUCCGUG